UAUGCAAUUUCGUAUGCCGACGGGAGCAGCCUGGGCACCGGGUGGACCAUCAGCGGCACGGCCCGCUGCAGCAGCAGAGAGAAGGCCUCCUCCAUGUUGAGCUUGUCGGGCGUCUGGCCCGUCGGCAGCUCCCAGUCGAACGAGUGCACCAGCGUGGCCGCCGUCACGGUGACCACCCGCAGGCCCCAGCUGAGGCCCGCGCAGAUCCUCCGGCCGGCCCCGAACGGGAUCAGCCCGAAGUCGCCUCCCUUGACGUCGACGUCGGCGUGGGUCCCUCCCGGGAGGAACCGGGCGGGCCGGAACUCCAGCGGGUCGGGCCACAGGGCCGGGUCGCGGGCGAUGCCCCACACGUUGACCAGCAGCUCCGUGCCCUUGGGGAUGCGGUAG
rnacentral:rRNA from 1 species